rnacentral:rRNA from 1 species
GAUCAUGGCUCAGGAUGAACGCUAGCUACAGGCUUAACACAUGCAAGUCGAGGGGCAGCAUGGAGUUGCUUGCAAACUCUGAUGGCGACCGGCGCACGGGUGAGUAACGCGUAUCCAACCUUCCCUAUAGUAGAGGAUAGCCCGGCGAAAGUCGGAUUAAUACUCUAUGUUUUCCGUUGCAGACAUCUAAGAUGGAACAAAGGCUUGCCGCUAUAGGAUGGGGAUGCGUCUGAUUAGGUAGUCGGCGGGGUAACGGCCCACCGAGCCAUCGAUCAGUAGGGGUUCUGAGAGGAAGGUCCCCCACAUUGGAACUGAGACACGGUCCAAACUCCUACGGGAGGCAGCAGUGAGGAAUAUUGGUCAAUGGACGAGAGUCUGAACCAGCCAAGUAGCCGUGCAGGACGACGGCCCUAUGGGUUGUAAACUGCUUUUAUGCGGGGAUAAAGUUCACUACGUGUAGUGUUUUGUAGGUACCGCAUGAAUAAGGACCGGCUAAUUCCGUGCCAGCCGCUGC